rnacentral:rRNA from 1 species
CCUACGGGAGGCAGCAGUGGGGAAUCUUGCACAAUGGGCGCAAGCCUGAUGCAGCAACGCCGCGUGCGGGAAGAAGGCCCUAGGGUUGUAAACCGCUUUCAGCAGGGAAGAAACUGACGGUACCUGCAGAAGAAGGUGCGGCCAACUACGUGCCAGCAGCCGCGGUAAU